rnacentral:pre_miRNA from 1 species
CGACCUCCACAGUCUGGCCGGCCCCGAGGCCGAGCUAGGCGAGUAUCUCUUCGAAGGGGUCACCUGCAAGCACGACUAGGAGC